rnacentral:tRNA from 1 species
UGAUCGUCUGGCGGACGGCCCCGACGGCGCGGGCGGUCGAGUUGCCCAGUCCGGCGACGCCCGGGAUCUCGCGGGUCGCGAACGCGACGACCUUC